rnacentral:hammerhead_ribozyme from 1 species
AUCCAACUGACCAGUUCCAAAUAGGACGAAACACGCGCCCUGGAU